rnacentral:lncRNA from 1 species
AAAAAAAAACAAAAAAAAAAACAAAAAAAAAAAAAAAAAAACCCUAGCCUCCGUUUGGUUGCGCCGUUUCCGACGUUCUUCAUCACCAACAUCACCAACUUCUACUUUUCAAUUUCCUCCAUCGGUAAACACAACAAAAUCUAUUUAAUGUUUAUUUAAAUCAUAGGUUCAUCUCAUAUCAUCGUUUGUGUGAUCUAUUAUAAUUAUAAAUAGUUAUGUUGGUAUUUGCUCGUUUAUGGUUUUUGGUCAAC